AGAGUUUGAUCCUGGCUCGGGACGAACGCUGGCGGCGUGCCUAAUACAUGCAAGUAGAACGCUGAAGAGAGGAGCUUGCUCUUCUUGGAUGAGUUGCGAACGGGUGAGUAACGCGUAGGUAACCUGCCUUGUAGCGGGGGAUAACUAUUGGAAACGAUAGCUAAUACCGCAUAACAAUGGAUGACCCAUGUCAUUUAUUUGAAAGGGGCAAAUGCUCCACUACAAGAUGGACCUGCGUUGUAUUAGCUAGUAGGUGAGGUAACGGCUCACCUAGGCGACGAUACAUAGCCGACCUGAGAGGGUGAUCGGCCACACUGGGACUGAGACACGGCCCAGACUCCUACGGGAGGCAGCAGUAGGGAAUCUUCGGCAAUGGGGGCAACCCUGACCGAGCAACGCCGCGUGAGUGAAGAAGGUUUUCGGAUCGUAAAGCUCUGUUGUAAGUCAAGAACGAGUGUGAGAGUGGAAAGUUCACACUGUGACGGUAGCUUACCAGAAAGGGACGGCUAACUACGUGCCAGCAGCCGCGGUAAUACGUAGGUCCCGAGCGUUGUCCGGAUUUAUUGGGCGUAAAGCGAGCGCAGGCGGUUUGAUAAGUCUGAAGUUAAAGGCUGUGGCUCAACCAUAGUUCGCUUUGGAAACUGUCAAACUUGAGUGCAGAAGGGGAGAGUGGAAUUCCAUGUGUAGCGGUGAAAUGCGUAGAUAUAUGGAGGAACACCGGUGGCGAAAGCGGCUCUCUGGUCUGUAACUGACGCUGAGGCUCGAAAGCGUGGGGAGCGAACAGGAUUAGAUACCCUGGUAGUCCACGCCGUAAACGAUGAGUGCUAGGUGUUGGAUCCUUUCCGGGAUUCAGUGCCGCAGCUAACGCAUUAAGCACUCCGCCUGGGGAGUACGACCGCAAGGUUGAAACUCAAAGGAAUUGACGGGGGCCCGCACAAGCGGUGGAGCAUGUGGUUUAAUUCGAAGCAACGCGAAGAACCUUACCAGGUCUUGACAUCCCGAUGCUAUUUCUAGAGAUAGAAAGUUACUUCGGUACAUCGGUGACAGGUGGUGCAUGGUUGUCGUCAGCUCGUGUCGUGAGAUGUUGGGUUAAGUCCCGCAACGAGCGCAACCCCUAUUGUUAGUUGCCAUCAUUCAGUUGGGCACUCUAGCGAGACUGCCGGUAAUAAACCGGAGGAAGGUGGGGAUGACGUCAAAUCAUCAUGCCCCUUAUGACCUGGGCUACACACGUGCUACAAUGGUUGGUACAACGAGUUGCGAGUCGGUGACGGCAAGCUAAUCUCUUAAAGCCAAUCUCAGUUCGGAUUGUAGGCUGCAACUCGCCUACAUGAAGUCGGAAUCGCUAGUAAUCGCGGAUCAGCACGCCGCGGUGAAUACGUUCCCGGGCCUUGUACACACCGCCCGUCACACCACGAGAGUUUGUAACACCCGAAGUCGGUGAGGUAACCUUUUGGAGCCAGCCGCCUAAGGUGGGAUAGAUGAUUGGGGUGAAGUCGUAACAAGGUA
rnacentral:rRNA from 1 species